AUUGAAACACCAGUUCUCGUGUGAUCACUGAAGUUAAGCAAUAUCAAGACUACUCAGUACCUGGAUGGGUAACCACUCAGGAAUACUGGGUGCUGUAAG